GGAGUUGUGGCAUAGCAGGUUAAGCCACCACUUGCAACACUCACAUCCCAUAUCAGAGUCCAGGUUCAAGUCCUGGCUGCUCCA
rnacentral:tRNA from 1 species